rnacentral:rRNA from 1 species
GAUUAACGCUGGCGGCGUGCAUAACCCAUGCAAGCCGAAGGAUGAAACUUAGUAUACUUCUUCGGAAAGACACUAAGCGGAUUAGUGGCGAACGGGUGAGUAACACGUGAGUAACCUGCCUUACACAAGGGGAUAGCCUUUGGAAACGAAGAAUAAUACCCUAUAAAACCAUAAAAGCACAUGCUAGAAUGUUCAAAGUGAUAUCGGUGUAAGAUGGACUUACGUCUGAUUAGCUAGUUGGUGAGAUAAAAGCUCACCAAGGCAACGAUCAGUAGCCGGCUUGAAGGAGCGUACGGCACCAUUGGGACUGGGACACGGCCCAGACUCUUCCGGGAGGAAGCAGUGGGGAAUUUGGCACACUGGGGGAAACCUUAAUGCAGCGUGGCCGCGUGAUUUAGAAGGCCUUCGGGUUGUAAAAAUCUUUUGUAUAGGAAGAAAAUGACAGUACUAGACGAAUAAGGUCCGGCUAACUACGUG